AGCGAACGUUAGCGGCGGGCCUAACACAUGCAAGUCGAACGCGAAAGGUCUUCGGACUGAGUAGAGUGGCGCACGGGUGAGUAACACGUAGGUAAUCUACCCUUUGGCGGGGGAUAACGUUCCGAAAGGAGCGCUAAUACCGCAUAAGACCACGGAGUCUCCGGACGCUGUGGGAAAAGGUGGCCUCUUCUUGAAAGCUACCACCGAAGGAUGAGCCUGCGUCCCAUCAGCUAGUUGGUAAGGUAAUGGCUUACCAAGGCGAAGACGGGUAGCUGGUCUGAGAGGAUGAUCAGCCACACUGGAACUGAGACACGGUCCAGACUCCUACGGGAGGCAGCAGUGGGGAAUCUUGCGCAAUGGGCGAAAGCCUGACGCAGCGACGCCGCGUGAGUGAUGAAGGCCUUCGGGUUGUAAAGCUCUGUGGGAGGAGACGAAUAAGUCGUAGCGAACAGCUCCGAUGAUGACGGUAUCCUUUUAGCAAGCACCGGCUAACUCUGUG
rnacentral:rRNA from 1 species